UUUUUAUUGGACGUUGAUCGUCACAUGUUGCGAUUUUAUUGGAGGUUGACGUUAAUUAGAUGUACAAAAUUAACAUCCAAUAAAUGCACGACAUGUGACAGUUAAUAUUC
rfam:Glycine soja cultivar W05 scaffold1660_216, whole genome shotgun sequence.